rnacentral:rRNA from 1 species
CCUACGGGAGGCAGCAGUGGGGAAUAUUGGUCAAUGGCCGAAAGUCUGAACCAGCCAAGUCGCGUGAGGGAAGACGGCCCUCCGUGUUGUAAACCUCUUUUGUAGGGGAGCAAAGCAAGCCACGUGUGGUUCAUUGAGAGUACCCGAAGAACAAGCAUCGGCAAACUCCGUGCCAGCAGCCGCGGUACUACGGGGGAUCCGAGCGUUAUCCGGUUUUAUGGGGUUAAAGGGGUACGCAGGGGGAGGUCGAAGUCAGCGGUAAAGGUUCGGGGCUCAACCCGGUACUGCCUUUGAAACUGUAUGCCUUGAGAGCACGAGAGGUAUGUGGAAUGCGUGGUGUAGCGGUGAAAUGCAUAGAUAUCACGCAGAACUCCGAUUGCGAAGGCAGCAUACCGGAGUGUAACUGACGUUGAUGCACGAAAGCGUGGGUAGCGAACAGGAUUAGAUACCCUGGUAGUC